UCCAAUAGUCAGCUUAUUAACUUUUAGUAACGGUUGAAAAAAGGAUGAGUAACGGUUGAAAAAAGGAUGAGAAGAACCAGUCGGUUUUCAUGAAAAAUGCCUCUAUUCCAAUAGUUAAAAGAGGGAAAAGGGAAAUCGAGGAGAAGAACCAGUUUUACCAAUUGUUCUCUACCAUCAAAUCUCCAUUUUCUCGCCAAUAACUGAUUUGGAAGACCUUUAAUGAAGCAGAAAAAGGGGAUUGAAGAGGUUUGUACUCGUAUUAAAGGAGGGUGGUGUCAUUGUGUUGUAUUCUAUAUUGUUUGGUGAAUGUUGUUUCAUUUUUAAUUUUUGGAAGAAAAUCUACUGGUGAAUGGGAUGGUUUAGGGUUCCUCCCACAUGCUGUGGUGCGACUUAUGCACUUCUUAGCUUUUUUUGGUUUCGACAAGCUUUAGUGAAUGUACCUCUGAUAAACUCAAAAUAGUUUUAAGUACUUUUAAUUUUUUAUCUUUAUUAUUAUUUGCUUACAUGUUUCAUGUGUGUAUUGGAUGUGAAUUUAUUUUCUGUAUUUCUUUUAAAGCAUUGUGGAUGUUUUUUUAAUAAUUAGCCGUGACUUUGUUAUGUUGAAUUCUGUGAACUUUUCGUACCUUGUCUUAGUAUUUUGAGUCAAGGCUCUUAACUGCUUCAAUUGGAUCAGUUUUGUUAUCCGUCCAACUUACAGAAGUGUAUUCUUAAAGAGUUCAAAUUAUUUGCUUUAUGGUGAUUGAUCUGUGGUUUCGUUCAUGUAUAUAAUACCUCUUUUCUUCACUUUUACUUGUCCAGAAUGAACUUUUUACACCAUUUAAGAAAUAACAAAUGAAGUGCAUAUUCCAUCAUUAUAUUCAUAUUAAUUAGUGUGUAUUUUCAUGAACUUAAAAAAUAAUUUGGAUAGAGUAAUUAAUGCUAAAGGUAAAACAAGAAAAAAAAAUUAUUUUUCUCUUGAUAUUCGUAACAGAACAUAUUUUUAAUAUAGUGAACAAGUAAAAGUGAAUGAAUGUAGGACUUUUGUGAAUUUUGUAUUUCAUCUUGAACAUCUGUGAUUCUUCAUAUGUUAUC